ensembl:lncRNA SMIM2-AS1 SMIM2 antisense RNA 1
GAGGUUUACUGUGUUUGGCAUCGCAGUUCCGACGGCAGCCGCCGUUUCGCGACCCACGGCGGACUUGCAUAAACACUUUCUAGUUGGAAUCUCACCCUGUGAGGUGGGCAAGGUAGUGAUAUUCCUGUUUGACGCCGACAGAAAUAAGAGAGAUUGACUCUCAGAACCAUGUGGCGGGAUUUUAAAGGAGGAUCUUAACAGUGGCUCGGACAGACCCGUGUUUUCUGCUCCUAGCAUUAACUACGUCGUUAAACCCUUCUGAAUUUAUUUCGUCUGUGAAAUGGGGAAAAGAUAGCCACCUUGCAUAACUGGUGAAGAAUUCGUAAACUGACAGCAGAAUCUAGUAAGAGGACUGGCCCGUGGUCGGCUCUUAAUGGUGUGUAUGGGGCUAUGAACAUUCCCAGGUCUUCUGACCUCUAGUCUGGGACUCUUUCUGCUAAACUAGGGAUUCUUAGAGGUCCAGAGACUUCGGGAGAUCCAGGGGCAUCUUCAAGGGGGUCCCUGAGUUCUAAACUGCAGAGGAACACUCUUAAGAGAGAUAAUAAAUAUUUCCACCACAUCUGUUAUGGAUAAUAUAUAUUUUGUCAUCUAUUUGCCAGAGACUGUUGUAAGUGCUUGUAUACAUUAAGUCACUUAAUCUUUACAGUGAACACUAAGGUACAUCCUAUUAUAAUUCCCAUUUUACAGAGACGUUAAAUACCUAUCUAGCUAAAAAAUGUGGGAGCUGUUUUACAUUCACGCAAUCUAGCUGAUAAAGCCACACACCUUAAUGUUUGUACUAUAUAUUAUUGUGCAAGAGGUGUAUUUGAUAAUGAUUCUUGUGUCACCAUUUACAAGAUGCUUCUGGCUUUUAUUAAACUCUCAAAGGGCAGGAAAAGAAAAAAAAAUACAGAGGAACCUAAACCCUAAAUCAGAGACAGACUACAUGCAGAUAUACAAAUGGAUGAUAAGAAACCAAAGUUGUGGGUACCAUGUUUGCAAUUCCGUUUUAGCUGAGUGCUUUGGACUAUCACGUCCCUCAGUGGCUCCCUGGAGGAAGAAUGAUUGAAUGACAGGAUAGGAAUGGAAUGUAGCCAUCAUCUUAUCUGACCACACAGACACCUCCCAGCAGAUGAAUGCAUCACCUCCUCAUGAUAAUUUUGAAGACUUUCUGAGAAAGUGAUAAUAUUAGCCUAUUACCUCACAACCACAAGGAACACUACAGUGACUACAAACCCUAUGUGCCUCAUUCAACAGGUGUCACAGAAUAAAGAAAAAGACUGGGAGAGAGAUGGGAGCUGAUAGACCAGAGGAGACCAAAGACUGAAACUGAAGACUAAACCAUGGAAAUUGGGAACAAGCACUUACUCGCUUAGAGGGUGAAAAAAGUGAAUUUGCCUACAGGGCCAAUUUGGAAGCACCUCUCCCUGGAAGCCAGUCAAUGAAGAGCCAUUGGAGGAUUUUAAAUAAGGAACCGAAAAAUGGAGUCUGAAAAUAGAGGCGCAGAGACCGGUUCUUCCCCAAACCAUCAUGGACCAGUUGGACUCUGAGAAGAAAAGUUUCUGAUCUUUAGUUCAUUCUUCCAACUCUCUAGAAAGCAGGAAAACUGAGAAUGAAAAAUUCUAAAUUACUCAGGACUCAUGGGUUGCCAAUAGAAGAAAUACAUCUUAAACUAGCUUAAGCCUGAAAGGGAAAUGUAUUUGUUCAUGUAACUGAACCAUAACGAAGGAUGGUGGACUGAGGGACCUGAAAACACCCUCAGGACUCCCUCCCUCUCCUUUGUGCUCCUGUCUGAUGCCGUCUUCCCAGACCUGCUCACUCUCCAUAAGGUGGGGAUGUGGCCAUCAGCAACGUGUACUUCCCCGAAGCUUGUGACCUGAGUAGAUAGGCAUCUCCCAACCCACAAGGAUUGAAAAGUUCCUCUAGGAAUUAUGUGGAUUGGCCCAUUCACUAUGACAUGUUCCCCCUAAGCAGCUAAAGGAACUGGGUCUGUUACCAGAAGAGGUGGGAGAGGGGUGCUAGGCAGAUUGAACAACAGCCACUACAACAUCUGAGGAGGAGACCUCCGUGAAGGCCACCAAGUCUGCUAGCAGAUAUUUCCUCCCUCGGAUCUCUCUCCCUGUCCUCACAGUCUCAUAAGUGAGGAUUAAAUACUACAUGUGGCCUAGGAGAUCUUAGACCCUCCACACGAAGAUAUAGUAACAAUCAACAUCCUAGUGUUCUGGCAGAGAAAAAAUCAGAAAGAAUCGUUUGCCUGAUUUUUCCAUCAAUACCAAUAAUUAAUUAGAGAUGAAAUUUGUGAUGGACUCAGAGAAUUAGAGAAGAUCUAAGGGAAUCUAGAUGAUUUCCUACCCCUAACCAGAGCCUCACAAAAAAGGGUGAAGAUCUAUGGCCGUCUUGCGUUUGGUGUGAGGCUGGACAAGGAAGUUCCUAAGGUCCUUUAGACUCUGUGAGAUCAUGAGUCCGUAAAACCCUUCCAACUUGAAAUUAGUUGAUUCCUUCCUUAAAUUUUCUGGGACAUUCCCCCACUCCCUCCACUCUUAUUAGCUGAUUUUACUGACCAAUAGGCCUUGAAGUUGGGCGUUCCAUCUAGAUGUCUCACAUCAACUCACCUUUUGCAAAUUAAGCCCAUACCCUUAAAGAGGGGAAUUCUCAAGCCAUUAGAAACUAGAGAGUCAGCUGGGCAUGGUGGCUCACGCCUGUAAUCCCAGAACUUUGGGAGGCCAAGGUGGGUGGAUC